ACGGAGGAUGCGAGCGUUAUCCGGAUUUAUUGGGUUUAAAGGGUGCGUAGGCGGGAAAAUAAGUCAGUGGUGAAACCCUGCAGCUUAACUGUAGACUUGCCAUUGAUACUGUUAUUCUUGAGUAUGGUCAAGGUAGGCGGAAUGUGUAAUGGAGCGGUGAGAUGCGUAGAUAUUGCACAGAACACCGAUUGCGAAGGGAGUUUGUUGGGAUAUUACUGACGCGGAUCCACGAAAUCGUUGGGAGGGAACAG
rnacentral:rRNA from 1 species